CGGGGCUGAAAUCGAAAUCGGGGUAGCAGUCGCGACCUAGACAGCUUUAAACCCAUUCUGUUUCAAAACGAUGUCACUUCCCAUUUUUUUCUGCGCGUACGCCUUUCGCGCCUUGGAGGAAGCCUUCCACGCCUUUCACGCCUUUGAGAACGCCUCACCAGCGUCGUCGCCUAGCCCCUUACGCACACUCAUUUUCAGGCCAGAAUAUGGCUUUUUGCGCCUCAGGCGCGUCUUGAGGCGCGC
rnacentral:lncRNA from 1 species